AGCUUUGUGCAGUGACAGUAUCAUAGCCAAUGAGGUUUAUCGGAGGCAUGAUUAUUGCUCAUUAAAAUAUACACAUAUAUGUAUAAGUACAUUUAUGUAUAAUUUUUUCUCAAUUCCUUUGUU
rnacentral:snRNA from 1 species